rnacentral:misc_RNA from 1 species
AGCUUUGUUCCCGAGACUCCAGUUAUUUGCUGAUCACCACCAUGCGCUGACGUGUUCUCUUCAUGCACUGUGCUAUUUCAUUAGUGUCUUAUCUUGGCAGUAAAUGUGUUUAUCAAGGUUUUUCAAUUUUAGUUUUUAAUGAAAGCAACAUUAGCGGCAAAUGAUAUUAUAAUCUUUUGACAGUAAAUGUGGUUAUUAAGGUUUUGUAAUUUUUUUUUCUUUUCCAAAGAUUGUAACAUUUGCGGUAUGUGAUAUUGUUUAAUGAUGAUUUUUAGAAAAAGACAACCUGUAAUUCACUUGAUAAGGACUAAAACCAAUGGUCGAAACGUUGUGUACAGAACAACAAUAAAGUUGCCAGUUGGGUUGACAAAAAUACUAUAUAUUAUAAUAAAAUAUAUUACGAAAAUCUUAUUUAGAAUAGUCUUGAAAAAAGAAAUAACUUACACUUUUCAAAUAUCAUCCUGUGAGAUGCACUAAAAUAUGUAAUAUUAGUAUGCCAAUAUUAUACUAGUUUAUCGUAAAAUGUUUUCAUCUUUCGAGAUGGUUCGAACAGACAUCAUCAGAUACUAACUUUCUUAGUUCCUGAUAUUCUGCACCGAUCAAUGACACAUCAUAAGAUAAUGACUACUAGUUCAGCACUAAAUGUAAAGGAUUUUAUAGUCUUACUCUGUAAUCUUCAUGGUAAAUGUAAUAAAGAAGAUAUUUCAAAAGAUCAUCCAUUUUCAUCGCGGAUGGCAAUUUGCGGAUGUCUUUACUUUCUUUCGAACGAUAGUAUAACAAAGGAUAUACUGUAUAAAUUAUUAUACAGCAAGAAAUUCGUGCUAUUGUUAAUGUUAAUUAAUCUGCGAUAUAGCCAAGCAAUGAUUAUAGGAUGGGUGACACAUGCAAUUGUCAUUCUCUGAGAAGAUCAUCGCUCUGGUUAUUGUACCCCAUAUCAAUCAUACUGCGGUACAUAUAUAUUAAUAGAAAACGAGAAAGGUAUCAAUUCCAGAAGAAUAAAUAAUAAAUAGCUUAAGAUUCACGAGCAGCUAUUCAUCUUGACAGUGAUAGUUUGAAUGUGAAACAGAGAAAAGCAAGAGCAUGGACUUCCAAAAUGUAAAUCCUCUAAACGUUUGGAUAAACUUUAUUUCGGGCAAUCUGUUCCCGAUGACCGCCGAUGACACGUCAUUUCCUGUACUCUGGAAGAUUUACAGCAUUCUACUGUGGUUGCUCGAGCUAGUCCAAAUGUGCGUGCUAAUCCGCGGAUGCAUUCUAGUGCCGAAGGAGCGGGCGUUGAAAGACGGUUUGAUCGGCCUCGCAAUAACUAUCGAGGUGGUCUUCAUAGUCGUGCGAAUUCAGACACGUAGGGGAUUGAUACAGCAACUGAUUCAGAACCUAAACGAUAUUCUGCGCACCAAGGAUGAGAUAAUGAGGAACAUCGUGAUAGGGAUCUUCAAACCGAUAAAGGCACCCUUCAAGUUCUACCUGAUAGGUGGCACGGCAUCUGUCUUUAUGUGGACCGUAGUUCCAUUUUCGUUGGUCUUUCACAGAAACGUUUUCUUCUACAUAGAUUACCGGAUGCCGGUGAUCUUUUCCAAGGAGCCAUUUUCCAUCACAACUUUCGUAGCGGGAAGUCUCUUGGUGAUGACUAGCAGCGUAUACAUUUUCAUAAAGAAAGUCAGCGUGGACAGCUACAUGACACAUCUGAUACUAUUGAUAACAGCGCAGUACAAGUACACCGCGUUAAAACUGGCAAUGAUAUUUCAAGGGGCACAGAACAAUUGCGAUGAUGCCAGCGAAGCGAAAAGUUACGACAUGAAUCAGUACGCGAAGAAGAAAAUUAAAAUUAUAUGCCAGCAACACAACGCGGUCCUUCACAUGACGUUCCUGCUAAGAGAAUUGCUGUCUUCGAAUCUGAGCAUAAUGUAUUUAAAUAACGUUUUCCGAUUUUGCUGUAUCGUCAUCAUGGUGAUUUCAGUUACAAUUUGCUGCUGAAUGACUGAUCCUCUGGCAACGUCUACAUUGGAUGACGUCUCUUCUUCUCAGUUUUUCCCAUCGAAUAACUUGGUUGCAAAUCGUCUUGAUUUUAUAAAGUUGAUUCGGUAUACUGUGUGGCGAGAGUUGUAUCAGCAUACAUGCUCUUCUAAAACUUCUUGCAGUUCGAAGGAUGGAUCGAUGCCUUUGAGUAAAUACGUAUAUAUUUUUUCUUCUUUUGGGGUAAAAGAAUAAAAGUUUGUGUUUGCUUCCAUCAGGGCCUUUUUAACUUUGUGGAAAUUAUGAAUAUCCUCAAGUAAUAACACAUGUUUAGUUUCGUUAAUUCUUUUGAUAUGAAAUCUGUGAUCUCCUGUGAUUUCUUUGGUAAGUCUCCAGGUAUCUUUAGGUUCUUGAAAAAAUAUAUGAAUGGGCGGCGGCCGUCCUUUGAAACUUCUCUUUGAUUGCAUGUGUUCCGCGUGUGACUGAUUGCUGUUAGUGGUGUGACUUGUUUGUUGUGUAUUCUCUGUAUGUUGUACUUUUCGGUUAUUAUUCUUCUGUUUUAAUGAAUUGAUAAAGGAGAGGUUGGUCUCAUCCUCUGUAUCCAUAUCAUUAACAGACUCCGAAGAUAUGAGGUUCAGAGGAUCAAAUCUAUUCUUCGUGCUUACCAAAGGAAUGUGUGUCUCAUAAUUCUGAGAAGAGGGAGAGGGUGUAAAUUGCGCUCCCUUACUCGUUCCUGGUUCCAUUUCCUUCCUUACUGUGGAAAUGUUGUCGGAUGGGCAUAUGAAAUUUGCCUCUUAUUGUUCCGGGCUACUUGGCUGCGUAUUUUCUGGGUUGCUAGUAUACGUAGUUUUACGUCUAGCCGCGUUGAGGUUUGGUUUAACGUUUCGCCAUUGUUUUUUGAGGUUUUUGUUCACUUGUGACUGGAUUUUAGAUUUUAUUGCAGUCGAAACAUCUUGUAAUGUUUCAUCGGCCGCGAUGGCCGAGGUUAUGUUUGAGGUUAGGUCUUCCUUCCUCGCCGACAUUCUUUUAAUUCGCUCUUUUUUUGUUAUCACCUGCACGGUUUUGAAGGGCGAAGAUGUACCUCAAUCGAGGCGCAGGAGCCCUGGUUGAGAAUCUGUGUACAAAACUUCGAAAAAAACUUCGAAACUGUGC